rnacentral:rRNA from 1 species
AAACUUAAAUGAAUUGACGGGGCCCGCACAAGCAGUGGAGUAUGUGGUUUAAUUCGACGCAACGCGAAGAACCUUACCAGGCCUUGACAUACUCGGCAAAGCUCUAGAGAUAGAGUGGAGGUUAUCCGGGAUACAGGUGGUGCAUGGUUGUCGUCAGCUCGUGUCGUGAGAUGUUGGGUUAAGUCCCGCAACGAGCGCAACCCUUGUCUUUAGUUACCAUCAUUCAGUUGGGGACUCUAGAGAGACUGCCGGUGAUAAACCGGAGGAAGGUGGGGAUGACGUCAAAUCAUCAUGCCCCUUAUGGCCUGGGCUACAAACGUAAUACAAUGGCGUAUACGAAGGGAUGCGAAAGGGCGACCUGGAGCAAAACUCACAAAGUACGUCUCAGUUCAGAUUGGAGUCUGCAACUCGACUCCAUGAAGGCGGAAUCGCUAGUAAUCGCGAAUCAGCAGGUCGCGGUGAAUACGUUCCCGGGCCUU